AUUGAACGCUGGCGGCAUGCCUUACACAUGCAAGUCGAACGGCAGCGGACCUUCGGGUGCCGGCGAGUGGCGAACGGGUGAGUAAUAUAUCGGAACGUACCUUUCAGUGGGGGAUAACGUAGCGAAAGUUACGCUAAUACCGCAUAUUCUGUGAGCAGGAAAGCAGGGGAUCGCAAGACCUUGCGCUGAUUGAGCGGCCGAUAUCAGAUUAGCUAGUUGGUGAGGUAAAGGCUCACCAAGGCGACGAUCUGUAGCGGGUCUGAGAGGAUGAUCCGCCACACUGGAACUGAGACACGGUCCAGACUCCUACGGGAGGCAGCAGUGGGGAAUUUUGGACAAUGGGCGCAAGCCUGAUCCAGCCAUGCCGCGUGAGUGAAGAAGGCCUGGUUG
rnacentral:rRNA from 1 species